rnacentral:rRNA from 1 species
AACGUAGGGGGCCAGCGUUGCUCGGAAUUACUGGGCGUAAAGGGUCUGUAGGCGGUGCGGCAAGUCGGAAGUGAAAUCGCAGGGCUUAACUCUGCGGCUGCUCCCGAAACUGCCGUGCUCGAGUGUGAGAUAGGCGAGUGGAAUUGCAGGUGUAGCGGUGAAAUGCGUAGAUAUCUGCAGGAACAUCCGAGGCGAAAGCGGCUCGCUGGAUCACAACUGACGCUGAGAGACGAAAGCUAGGGGAGCAAACAGG